GGUUCUACACAUUUCUUGCUAUAUAAACUCCAAUCAUUCUCCUCAAACUGGCAUCACAAGUAACCAUCUUUCUCCUCCUAAGCCUCUAUACACAACACAGAACUCAUUCUCCAUUUACCAAUAUGGCUUCUUCCUCAAAGAGAUUUGUUCUCUUCAUCGUCCUAAUUUUCUCAACCGUUAAUAUGAGCUUCGGGGCUCGUCAUCUGUUACAAACAACUAUGCCAUCGAUACCAUCGAUUCCCACCAUACCUACUCUACCGACUUCGCUGCCGCCGCUACCAGCCAUGCCGACACUGCCAAAGGUCGCCCUGCCACCAAUGCCUGCCAUCCCUACCUUGCCUCUGCCCACCACCCAACCAACACUAUCCAAGACCACUCUACCGCCGCUUCCAAGCUUGCCAACCAUGCCAACAACAUUGCCACCGAUGCCAAACAUCCCUACUUCCCUCCCUAAAAUCCCUUCAAUUCCUCUUCUCACUCCUCCGCCAGCCACCAGCCCUUGAAGAGUUUAGUACCAUACGAGGUCACCUGAGAAUAUCUAUGUAUUUGAUUGCCUCCUUUUGAUUGUAGAAUUGUUCCAAUACACGUCAUGUCUUGUGCUAUGACGUCUUUUGGUUUCUAUUGAUCAUUCAUAUUGUUUUAUAGUAAGCUCUUUUGGUGUGAUUAGAAGUCUUUUCCAGCGUGGUGUACCUAUGUACUAUGAUAUAUAUGUAUUUAUCAGUGACAUGGCUCACAUUUAAAUAAUGUAUUUUCAAUCGGUUCAAAACUCAUUCUUACCGACAGUACCACCCCAAUCUCUAUCUUCCACGUUCAAAUAAAAUGGUGUGCCACUCGCACUUGUAUGUGCCAUGAACUUGAUUCAACGGCUCCUGUGAAUUGAGCUUACGCGAUGCAAGAUUUUUAGUGACAUGGACUUGAAUUAAAAUAACACAAGUGGACGACUCAUUUUUGGCACUUCCAGACAUUCCCUCAAUAAAGUUAUUGUCAUCAAAUUGAUUUUGAAUACUAUUGUCAGUAAUUUCACUAGAAUUGAGAGAAAAAAAAUUUCCAAUUCUCAUAAUAACUACUUUAUCUAUAUCUAUGUACCAUAAACAAUCUAGUAUCCUGGGUUCUUGGAAUUUCCCUAUUCUAGCAUCAAGAAUUAUAUGUGUGUAACAUGUCCGCUCGAAUGACAUGGCAACCUGUUUGGCGUGAUAUACCAAACCAUAUGACAUAACAAAAUCAUUGAUGAUGCAGUACUAUGUGAAAACUGAUGUGACAAAAUAGCACAAAAAGCGUGCAUGAUGACGUGGCAAUGUUGAUGAUGUGUCAGUAUGGUACUUAGAAUCCUGUGAAAUGAAAACAAGAAAUAGUCGUAAUAAUAUAGUCGAUAUCUUUAACCUAUCAAAAUAAUUAUAUCAACUCAUUAGUUCAGUGGUGUGUAUAUAUAUAUGCCUAGUUUUCUACGAGUCUUUCUACAUAAGAUAGAAUACCAAGUCAUCCAUAGAUGACCAAAUGAUGUCCUGUGCAUAAGUUAAUCAACUCCUAAAUCUAAGGAUUAAUAUAGAAGUAGUUUGGUGAGUACCUAUCUCCAAUGUCAAUCAUUUAAUUGUGCUUCGAUAAAAAAGAAAUCAUUUAAUUGUGUGUCACACAAGAAUAAGCACGGGCUUCACAUCUACCUAAGGGUAUUGCAUUACAAGUAUUUAUUGCUUUAGGCAAAGUUUCCGCACUGUCUAGAUUAUUUGUUUAGUUUGAUUUAAAAUAUAAGAAAUAAACUCACCAUAGUUACAUACAUACAUACAUACAUAUAGAGAUCUACCCAACUCUCAAUUGUUGAUCUUUGCUCUUCGCCACCUUUUGCAGCAAGGAACGAUGACAACACCUCUGGAGAUCAAUUUGGAUUGUCUACUCUCGGUAGAAUCCAUCAACAGCCAGCAAGAACUCCCACGGGAGAUCCGCCCUCUUGUCCAGGAAGCCGUCGAUCUGUGUUGUGCCUUUCCCAUACUGUAUAUUAGAUUUUGUAAGGGGGAAGCUAACUCUGUAGCUGACUGGGCAGCAAGAGCCCAUAGCAAGGGCUCCCUUUCCCCUUCAUGGCCCAUUUCUCCUCCCCCUCCCCUCCUUGACAUGCUUAUUUCGGAUAUUAUAGCAGCAGAAUGUAUUUCGCACCACUAUCUAUAAUACGUCUUUCCUGAUCAAAAAAAAAAAAAAAAACUGAUGGUACUCUCCCCGGCUAUAAUGAGAUUACAAUGGGGUCAACGUAUAAAAUUUUUAUGUCCUUAGAUAUGAAAAUAAUAGUCAAACGCAAGUCAAAAUUUGAAUAGAUGCAUUAAAUAUAUGAUCAAUUAUCAUGUUUUCAAAAGUGUAAAUUAACCAACCAUUUGAAAAUUGCUCUUUUCCAAGCAACAAGGACAAUCACUGAAGACAAAGUAUAUUUACAAAGAUUCUCCACUGCAAAACAUGAACUCAUCAUAUAAAACGGAAGAUAGAACUAAAAGAGAAGACAUUUUAUACCUAAUACUUCACCCUUAUUAGCAAGGGAUGAAAGAGGCACAUAAAACGAUAUUUUAUAAUUGUCAUUAUUUUAAUAAGUUCACGGUACCAUCUUGUGGAAAGUGAACUGUCCUUUCCGUUUAUCAAACCUUUUAGGUACAAACCACAAAAUUUCCACUUGUUUUACAAAAUUCAAACUUUCUGUUUAUAUUUCAAGCACAUAUUCUUUUUUCAAAGGGUUAAGGUAGUAGAGAAUGGUGAAAAUAUAUAUCUUAUAUUUUAAAAUUCUUUCUAGCGUGAACACUUGCAAGAUGAUGGAAGCCUCAUGUGUAGACGCAAUUUAUAUGGAUAAUUAUACGCAAAGGUGGAUCUAAAACUUUCUUCUGAUGGAGGCAAACUUGAUAAUUAUAAGUUCACAAACUUUAUUGAAUUAACUAUAAUUAACCUAGAGUUUUUUACUUUAAAAAUUAUAUGGGUAGAUAAAAUAUUUCUGGAAGUACUUUUUUUCUUUAAUUUACUGAGGUGAAAAUGGAAAAACACGAAACGUAUAUGUAUAUGUUACCAAGAUGUUAGUCUCUACAAUACGGAGCUUAGUCCCUAAAUCAAGAAAUUGUUGAAAACUUGAUUUGAGGAGUCUAAAUUCGAGAUGAGAUGACUUUUGGCUCUAAAAUUACCUUUGGAAAUUCAAAUCUAAAAAAUUCGAGCUAUCGAUAUCAACGUCAACAUAUUUCAUAAUAUUUUAACAUAUGAAUGUAGGAAUAAUAAAAGCAGUCCACGCAGAAAAAAAAGAAUUGAUAAUUGAAAAAAAAGAAAAAUAUAUUGAAGCAGCGUUUAGUACUAUUCUCGUCGUCUUUUUUCGGCAAUUACAUGAUAUGUCAAUCAAUCCUUGCCUCGUACAAGGUUGGAGUUCUUUUACGACAUGGCACGCGGAGACAUGACUCAUGAUGUCGGGCUUUGAAAGAUUGAAGCUUUCCAUGCGAGAAGACAGACAAAAGCAAUGAAAGACCUCGACUGCUGUAUGCAUGAUUCAAUCAUCUUACUGUUCUAAUAUAAUUUAUGCAUUUGAUUCGAACUCCUCUUCCACUAAAUGACAACUGCACAUGAACAGCAUAGGAAUUGUAAACCCCGCUUUGAAUUCCUGUCAAUUAUUAAGUUCUCUAUUCUCAAAUGCUGGGACAUCCUCUUUCACAUGUUUCUUUAGAGUUUGGUAUGUUCAAUAUAGUUUGUGAUAACUGGCUUGGCGAUUAACACUUUUAACAUUAAUGUCAAUCAAAGACAGAUUGAUUAGAUGCACAUGCAUAUAUUGUCAUUAAAACAUUAGUGGUGGGGGAAAACUACGUACAUCUCCAACUCUUCCUAGAGUUGAUGCAAUCGGUUAGGAUGUUAACGGGUUUUCAACUCACAUAUGAAAGGUGAUUUGUUCAGACCAACGUUUUUAAACCUGGAUUGGUCAAAGAACCAGCUUCACCUCCGGUUUUUGGGUCCAUCGGUUCGACUGUCAGGUCAAAGAGGUUAGAAGGUCAGAAGAUCGAUACCUAAGACCCAUCUCAUAAAUUUUGUACACAAAGUCAGUACCUUGAUCAAGGACCCGGUCAAAUUGGUGACCGAUCUAUCCAAAUGAUAGAUUGAACUAGGUCGGCAUCGGGUUUGACUGAUUCUUGAUCAGUCCAAGCUAUUAACAAAGUUGGACAAACCAUGGUCUGUCUUCCGAUCGAACUGAUUGACCCGAUUGGUCAAGUCUAGGUUUGAAAACACUGGUUCAAACCUCUUUGGACAAGACCCGCUCCCACAACUUGUUAACUGGCUUGUAGGACUUGCAUGGUGCGUUGUGAGACUCUACAUAGUCGAUCAUCCACUCUCGUGUCUCAAAUUCAUAAAAGAGAUUACAUAUGCCUCUGUAAUUUGUGAUCAUUUACAAUUAUUUUCAAAAUGACAGCAAUAUAGCGAAAUGAUGACAUCAUUUGGAUUCUAAUGGUGCAAUCUUUUGUCUGUAAACAUGACGUGUAGAGGCAAAGUAGCAUAUGCUUUCGCGUACUAAAUAAUUCCUCACUAUCAUGUGUUUUGAGAAGCUUUUUCUCCCGAGGUUCCCGUGGCUUGAUGAAGGGUUAGAGUCGCGCAGUAAUAACGUAAAAAAAGGGAUGAAAUAGAGAGGGCAAUUCUAGUGAACCCUAAUGUCAGGCUAGCUGUUGAGGCCAAUAGGGUGCUUAAUUUCAGACGUUCAAAAGUCAAAAAGAUUCCUUCAAUGAGUAAAUUGAUAGGUUAUUUAUAUUGAGAGGAUCAAAAGGAUUGGUUGAGAUAUGUCAUGUGACAAUCCUAGCGUAGGAAACCAACGAAAGCUAGAUUUUAGGUAGGAGGGAUGGGCUAGCCACGGACUACCAAGUGUCAAGAGAAAACGAGCCGACUCCAAGCCUAUUAGAAGGGGUUAGAGCGCUCCUUCAAACCCAUCAAGUUAAAACUCUCAAAGAACAUCUUGAAGAGAAAAGAAUAAUAUAUGGCUCAUGUGAAUAUAAACCCACAACAAAUCUCUCUUAGCAGUAUCCAAUAGUAAAUUCAUGAAAUUAUAUGCAAGAACAAUAUGCUCAGUUUUCAUAAAUAUGAAAGAAUAAAUUUACGCAUGCUCUCAGUUUUCAUAACUAUGAAAGAAUAAAUUUACGCAUGCUCAAACAAUCUCAUGCUGAGGCAGUGUGUUAUUUUACCCUUUUUUUCCAUUGCUGCCAAUUUAUAUUCUCUUUUCUGUCUCUUCUCCUUCCUACUAUUUGAAGACUCACGGACAGGGUCUCCAGACCCACAACGUUGCGGCGAGUAACUAGGCCUACUCAACCGGGAAAUUAAACUAAACCGGCCUUACAGAACCGGUUUGACUGGUGACUGGUUUGAGUUCUUGGUAAAAAAAUUGGGAAUUAUCCUUGACAGGUUCGGUUUCAUCCGGUUUCAUCAUGAGGUUCUACAGCAAAAUUUGCUAAAAUCACUGACAAAUUGAGAAUGAUGGUUUCGUGUGUUCUUCAUGUGGGUUAAACGGAGCUUGAAAGGACAGCUAAAAGACAAGUGCAGGUGGUCUGGGAGGUGGAGGACUGAUAGUGUCCCUCUGUUUGCAAUCGUACCAGAUAAGCUCGAUUCUUAUUUUUGGCAGUUGAAAUUGUUUUCAUUCUUUCAAUGAAUUCAUAGCCAUCGAGACAGGAAACGUGUGGGCACUCUAGGGAAAAAGGGUGUUAGUUUCAGGGUUCAACCGGUUAUGUUCUUGGUUCAAAACUAAGAAUAAGCGCUAAUUUGGGGAAUCUACCCAUCUUGAAGUAAUCAUUCCUAACGACAUAACGACAGGUGAUGCCCCCUCUCUUAGAUUCGAGCCAUCAUCGUCGGUCUUCUCCUCAUCAAUAUCGAAAUCGGCCAUGAAUCUAUCAGUGCAACCUCAUAUCCGAGGUCCCCAACCUCAGUCGACCCCAAAUCUAGGGUCGUCGCCUGAGGUUAGGGAAUCCAUUUUGUAUGGUGGCUGGAACCAUCGCAAAGCUCUUCCCCCAAUCACAAAGGGAUUUGCAGGGGGCAAAGGGAAAAAGAGAUUGAGCUACCACCUAUCGGCAUGAUGGCUAGGGACCACGAUUGGGGAGUGGGAGGCGAUGACGCGGCCUCGGAGCAAGGGUGGGGCUAUCGGUUUUUUGGUAAAGCAAGGGAGUGACCAAGGGAGAGGGAGAUGUGUUUGGAUUUUGGGAUAAAUUUCUUUGCUAUGUGAGGAUGUUUUGAUCCUGUAUGAUAAUUUUGCUUGAUGUUACCCACUAACUUUAGAGGAUUCCAUGUUGAAAUCAAUGGACUUAUAACAUUUCCUAUAAUUUUAAGAACUAAACCGAUAUUUGGUGGCUGGAUUUAGAGCAUUGUAUCAAUUUGUGGUAUGUAUAACAUAAUAGAGAAGAAAAAUCGCAUGUUGUCAUAUUCACUAUCUAAUUUACCACAUGGGAUGGUCCCUUUGUUUGGGUGUGGGACUGUGGAUACAUAUGGGCACAAUUUAUGAAUGGAUCAUAAUGUAAGAGACCCAAAUUUAGCAAAGAAGAUAUGAGAUUGCGUUUUUGUAGGGGACCAUAGAGCUAAAGUACAGAGGGUCUCACUGCAAGGAAAGGGUCAUGUCAUUGCUCGUGAACGCUGUCCACAUCUUUUGAACCCUUGUGUCCAGCCUCUCCAUUUUCCAUUUUUCCUUAUAAGAUAUGUUUGCUAGAAGAGGACAAACGCAAUCAUUCAUCGAUUUACAAGUAAAAGACUUCAAAACUAAUUUUCUUCGUCUCGAGCGGGAGUCAGUCUAAGUAGACAAAAUUAGGUUUUAAGGAAGUCAUAGGAAGCUUCGUCUCGACCGUGACAAACAAAAUCACGGACACGUCAAAAGUCUUGACACUUAACCGGCUUGUAAGGUCUAUAAAGUGUUAUUUCAUAAUCCUUCAAGAUAAUUUGGUUUUUGCGCACAUGUUCCUAUGUCAAAGAAAAACAAAAUAGGAACAACAGCAUUGCAUAUUUUCCAUAUAGAGGAGAGAAGUUACCUAAAAAAUACAGAAAAGGAGCAGUUUUUGUUUAAUUCUUGUGCUUAUUAAGUUGUGUUUAGUAACUAUUUUGUUUCCGAAAAUAAUUUCUGUUUACUCAUAACUUUUUCUAACUUUGUUCCUCAUAUAAGUUUCUAAGCAUUUGAGGCAUUUGAUCAUUAUAGAAAAAAUUUUAUUCCCAAAAUAAAAAUGCGUUUGAUAGGAUCCUCAUUUUUUUCUUGUGACUUAAAAUUUCCUUUAAUUUAUUAUUAUUAUUAUUAUUAUUAUUAUUAUUAUUAUUAUUAUUAUUAUUAUUAUUAUUAUUAUUAUUAUUAUUAUUAAUUUUUCCUUCUCUUUUUCUUUCUCUAGUUGGUUGUCGGUCAUGAGGAUGGCUAGCAAUUGGCUAUGCGAGAGCCGACGAGGUUGCUAACCUUAGGGGAGCCUCCCCCAACCAUCAGGGAGGGUCAACCUCACCUAGCCGCUAUGAAGUCGACCUUGUUAGGCCAAGGUGAGGCUGACCUUGCGGUAGGUUGGCUAGGCAAGGUCAACCCUCACCGGCAAUUGGGUGAGGCCGAGCUUCUCUAAGGGUUGGUGAGGCUUCAACCACAUUGCCGAAUCUCAUCUGGUUGGUCACUAGCCAUCGUCGUGCUGGCGAUUGGCGAGAGGAAGAAGAAGAGGAAGCAAAAAAGAAAAAAAAAAAAAAAAAAAAGAGGAAAAAUAAGGUUUGGGUUUGAUUUCAGAAUUAUUCCUUAGAACAAAGAAGCAACUUUAUUUUUUACUUUUUGAUUCUAUUCCAAAUCUAUUCUCGAGAAUAAAAAUGUUACCAAACGGAUUUCCGUUCUUUUUCUUUUUGUUUCGGGAAAUGAAAUAAUAGAAUCAAACACUGUUUGGCAUGUUAUCAAAUAGACCCUCAGUCAUUCAUUAGUGUCCCCUUUGCUAGUACUUGCUAUGAAAUGUUUUUGCAUUGAAGAUGUUUCAUGCUAAUUGUUAAAAUAUUUAAGUAAUAAACCAUAUUUUCAUCUAACAACUUAAGCUUUUAGAAUAGUUAAUGGUGGUUCCACAAAAUCUCACAAUAUAUUAGACCAGAAACUUCUUGAGAAUCUUUCCAAACUUUUAUUUACCUUUAGAAUAUUUAAAUAAUAAACUAAUUACAUAGUAAUAUUCAAAGCAUGCUUUUGUUGAAGAAUUCGAGUACCCAUGUCAAAGCACAGCAUGGCCCACCCGGUCAGGCAUUCGCACAGCUGUUAUCAUGAACAAAUGCUGCAUGCAAAUUAAGCUACUAUUUAACAAUGAUUAAGUGCUUUAAUUUAUUUGAUUAGAUCUGAAGGGUUGGUACUUAGAUUGAGGAUCAGGUUAGGAAUACGACUAAGUGAAUUAGCUUGGGAUGAUAUAUUCGACUAUUCGUUGACGGAGUCGUCACAACUUAGUUCACAUUUAUAGCAUUUCUCCAAUGGCAGACCUAACCCGCGACCCAGAGAACCACAUUGCUCCGGGCUCCAAUGUCCUUUUUAGUAAUUAAAUUGUGGCAAAAGUGGAAAUGAAUAUGCUAAUUAUUUUACUUAAUAAAGUGCGAAUAGUUUCGUAGUUGGACCAUUCGAAUCUUGGUUUGUGACUUGCCUGAUCCAUUAAAGUUAAGAUGGGUUUCCACGUCAUAGACAAAACAUUAGCAGUUUAACAUGAAAUGGCAACUACUUAGUUAGAUGGUGCCAUGAAUUUUUUGGGUCGAACAAUACAAGGCACAAAGUUAACAACAUUUGAACUUUAAGUUAAUCCAUUAUGAAUUAAGUUAGGAUUGAGCGUUCGACUUUUAUGAAUUGUGUUCAAGGUACCUGACUCAAAUUAUAAAAUUUACCACUUGAAAUAGCAACCAUCUCUACUGCGACUAAAAAUGUUUUAGUAUGACUAGAAAACCAUCUUUACAUAUUAUGUAGAGUGCAAGUCAAAACUCUAGGGGAUGGCCUAAACAUGAAAUUAUUUGCACUUUUACCUGUUAGAGGAAUCGAACUUAAUCUGAACUUUCAAGGCCAUUCACUAAUCACGAAGCCAACUUCACGAUGAAAUUUAAGCAAUUUUAUGAGGAGUUACGUUGGAUUGGUUUACGAUAUUGAUAAAGAACUUAUCUAUACAAUGGAAUGUAUCUGAAUGUUCAUUAAGUCCUGAAUACGUUUAUGAUAAGCAAGGUAGGAAGUUUCUUUUUGACUACCUUGGCAGGUUCGCGCCAAGCUGGCAAACGAAAUGGUCAUUUCCUAACAAAUCAAUUCCCGUAAGCAACCGUUUCUACGUCCCGUGACCACAAACAUGACAAUUUUGCUGUCUCUUAUCAGUUGUUAGACUCUAGCGUCUUAAUGUCACUUGUCCAGUCAAAAGAUUGUCAGUGUCAGCCAUUGGAUGGACGGAGGAGCAUGACGAAAUUACCAUGCUCAAGGCCACUAGGGACAUGAAUGGUAACUAUUCUGUUUUCAGACACAAUUUCUUACCAGAAAUAACUUAUUUUAUUUUAUUUUAUUCCAUGGACAAGUUUAUGAGCAAAAAUAUGUAUUGGAUGAUGACCUAAAAUUUCUUCCUUUCAAGCAGGUGGUAGCAAGAGGCCGUUGGUGAUGGAUGGCAAACGGCAGGCGGCAAUGGGCGGCGGGGGGCAGCGGGGGAGGCGAUUGAUUAGUGGCGAGGGAAAGUAAUAGGAAGAGUAUUUAUUUCUCAUUUCCAUUUCAAAAGUAGAAAACUAGAAAUUUUUUACCUCUCAUCUUUAGACUAAAAAUUCAUUCUAAAAAUAGAAAAAUAAAACUGUGUUACCACACCGAUUUCUGUUUCAAAUCGAUUCUCGGGGCAGUAAAAUAGAUAUGGCCAAAAUUAUAUUUCCACCGGUCCCCUCAAUAUGCCUUGUCUAAAUGGAAAUCUCUGGUGUAGACACCCCUUGUUUAACGCCAGACGACCGUCAGGAAAAAUCAGUGGAAAACGAGGUGUACCAAAAGUCAAUCAAUGUUCAAAAAGGAGGGUGGACUAAGUGAGCUCCUCUGCUCUGCAAUCAGACGGGCUCCAACUCACUCUGCUGUCCUGUAGUAAGCACACAUUAGAUUCCUUUCCCUCUGCUUUCUUCUGUUGCUUACCCUGUGUCAAAUACUUCAAGCUCACAAAAAGUUAAAAAGCAAGGUUGGCAGGGGCAGUGGAAAGCCAAGGGUCCUCAUUUUCCAUUUGUUUAUCUUCCUCGGGGUUCGCCUUUUUAAAGUUCUUGCUCUCGUUGCCUCCGACUNNNNNNNNNNNNNNNNNNNNNNNNNNNNNNNNNNNNNNNNNNNNNNNNNNNNNNNNNNNNNNNNNNNNNNNNNNNNNNNNNNNNNNNNNNNNNNNNNNNNNNNNNNACUUGGUUAGUUCCCUCCAUGCUGAGCUCACUCAUCUGUGGGUCACUUUCAUUGUUGGAGUAGAGCUUUAGCUUUUGGGGACUGUUCAUAAAACCCAUCACCAGGUUCUUCUCCUUUUUCCUUUUUCACCUGUUACAUGGUCUUGCUAAAUCCUGAUCUGUUUGGUAACCAGAACAGCAGGAGCUGGAGUUGGUCACCCUCUCUCUCCUCUCUAUCCUCUCACUCCACUAUGUCUCUGCUCUUUUUCUUCACUAUGAAUUGGUAGCCAGCAUGUGCAGCUGUGACCAGCUCAAGGAACCAUGACUCUAAACCCCAGAAAUCUCCUCCCCUGUUUGAGUGCUUUGGCUUUUAGCCUCCUCCUGCUUAGUUCGUCUGCUCUGAACUCAGAUGGUGUCCUCUUGCUCGCCUUCAAGUACUCCAUUUUAAGUGACCCGUUGUCUGUCCUGGAGAGCUGGAACUAUAACGAUGUGACCCCAUGCGCCUGGAAUGGAGUCACCUGCACACCGAUUGGGAAUCCUGGAACACCAGCCAUGCUCAGAGUCACCAGAUUAAUCCUCCCCAAUAGCAAGCUUCUGGGUUCGAUCCCUAAAGAGCUUGGCACGAUGGAGCACCUCACCCAUCUUGAUUUAUCUAGUAAUUACUUCAACGGAUCCUUGCCUUCGACUAUCAUCAAUUCCUCCACGCUUCAAGUGCUCUCUCUAUCCAACAACGUGAUCUCAGGUGAGCUGCCCGAGUUCAUCGGAGACUCCAGGAGCCUCUGGUUCCUGAAUCUCUCCGAUAAUGCACUGAGUGGGAGUAUUCCUAAGAGCAUAACCUCCCUGAAGAACUUGUCUGUUGUUUCUUUAAGGAGUAAUUACCUCGCAGGUGGUGUUCCUAGCGGGUUUGUUUCGGUGGAAGUCCUAGACUUGUCUUCAAAUUUGCUGAAUGGAUCUCUGCCAUCGGAUUUCCGAGGAAACGGUCUGCGUUACUUGAAUCUCUCCUACAACAAGCUUUCGGGCCCUAUACCGCCAGGGUUCGCCGCGAAAAUCCCAAGAAACACCACUAUCGAUCUCUCAUUCAACAACCUGAGCGGCGCAAUCCCGGAGUCACUGGCCUGGGCGGAUCAGAAAUCAGAGUUCUUGGCGGGCAACAUGGAUCUCUGUGGCAAGCCGCUGAAGAUUCUAUGCUCCAUCCCUUCAACUCUUACCACGCCACCCAAUGCCACCACAACCACGUCACCGGCCAUCGCAGUCAUCCCGAAGACAGUCGGCACCGACCCAUCAGCGGACUCACCCGGAUCAUCUGCCGCGGCAAAAGGCCAAACGCCCGGAGGGCUAAAACCAGGGACCAUAGCAGGAAUCGCCGUCGGCGAUCUAGCCGGAAUAGGAGUGCUCGCGUUGGUCAUCCUCUACGUCUACCAAGUCAAGAAGCGGAAAAAAGACCACAAAAUCACCACAACCAACGAGCCCAAAUCACACCAGAAACCAGAACCAGCGGCAGAGCAAGACCCAGCACCGGAAUCGAGAAAACCCGCGAACUGCUAUUGCCUCACAAUCACAGGCCACGAAACGUCGACCUCCGAAUCAUGUUCCAGCGAGGACGACGAAGACAAAGACUUGCCUGCAACAAGAAGCAUCGACCACCACCCCCAGAACGGGGCGGGCGCGAACCAGAAGACGGGGACCCUCGUGACGGUCGACGGGGAGACGCGGCUGGAGCUGGACGCGCUGCUGAGGGCGUCGGCGUACAUACUGGGGGCGAGCGGGGGGAGCAUCGUGUACAAGGCGGUGCUGGAGGACGGGACGGCGUACGCGGUGAGAAGGAUCGGGGAGAGCGGGGUGGAGAGGAUGAAGGAGUUCGAGCAGCACGCGAGGGCGAUCGCGAAGGUGAAGCACCCGAACCUGGUGAGGCUGAGAGGGUUCUACUGGGGAGACGACGAGAAGCUCGUGAUCUACGACUACGUCUCCAAUGGCAGCCUCGCCAGCGCAUGCUCUGGUUACAGUAAGUCUUUCUUCUUCAUCCUCUCUGCUCCCCUGUUUUUUUUUUUUUAUCUUUUUCUCUAUUUUCCAUGUUCUUGUUUUCUGUUUGAUUCUUCUCAAAAAUGAAAAUUCCAUAUUAAACUACAAACGAAAAGAACAUCGCAUCGUAUCACGAAAUUGCAAAUUAGGUAAAGGGAAUUUGUGUUCUGGAAAUUUCAGAAUCUAUGAAAUUUUUUUGUUAUUAAGACAUAGUGCUACCAUGCAACAUCCUGAAAAUCAUUUGCAAGUUGGGAAACAACUAUGAUGUUUCUUAAUGUAUGUAUUCUUGCAAGAUCAAAACCCUAUUUGAUUGCUUGGGGUUCCAUGCAAUCCCAACCCUUUAUAAAUGGACUACAAAGGGGUCGAUCGGCCGGUCAAGUUGGUCAGGUUAUCGGAUCUCAAGACAUACUCAUGCUUCUUUUGGUGGUAAAGUGAUCAAUAGAAUUUGGUCUAAAGAUUGAUUCAUCCAUUACAUGUCAAAAAGGACAUUUAGGAUUAUGUUUGCUUCCUCGUCACUUUAGGACAUGCAAUUCCAAGAUGCCAUGUCGCGGCGGUCCGUUGGACGAGGCUAGUACACCUUGGACCUAAAUCUAUGGCUUUUUGGAUUAUGGGGUACAUAAAAUAUAUUAUCACACGACAUUCUUUUUAAUUAGAGAUCUUUCUCCUUUUUGCUUUUAACAAUAUUGCCUUUUGUAAAAAAAAAAAAAAAAAAAAAAAAAAAAAAAAGGAGUCAAUAACACGUAAUAAUUAUUUUUCAAUAUAAUUUCUCAACAUGUGCAGUAAUUUUUCUCUUUGAUAAAAUUUUCUCGACUUGCUCCAUUUAUCCUUUUUAUUUUUUUAUUUUUUAUGUUGGAUUGACACAAUUUUCAAAUCUGAUACCCUUCAGGGGGAUCAGAUAGAGUUCAGAUUGGCACUCUAGGAAUGUCUUUUUUAAUAUUCCUUCAGGUGAAUUAAUAAAAUUCCCAGCUUGUUCUUCUCGGGAUAAUAAUUUAAAUAAUUCAAUUUUUCUAAAAAAUAGGCGCAAAAAUAAAAUACUCGAAAAUUACAGCUCCCUAAGCUUGAUGAAUGCUGUAUUUUAUUAUUUGUAGAGUACAGAAAAUCGGCAUAUAGUGUGCCCACCAUGUGCAGUGUCGGUCUAUCCUCUGUUGUUUUUAGCUGCUCAAUUUAAUUAAUGUUUUUUUUCAAUUUGCUGGCCCGAACUACCAAGUAAUUUAUUGUUAAUAAUUACUAAUCGUUCAUAUCCUAAAUUCAAAGAGAGAAAGGACUUAAAAAUCUGAUUAAAUUAUAAGUUGUAUCACUAACUCGUUUUUGUUACAGUUCAUAGGAUGCAUGUCGACCGGAUUGGCAUGUGAUGUUGUGCCGUAAUUCUUUGAGCUUAUAAAACGAGUAUAUUAGACUUUUAUUCUAGGAAAAUGAAUCUUUAUUUUCAUAAAUAAAAAAGAUAUAAUCUCAAGACAAGAUGCAUUGGGUAUAUGAAAAUCGCCUCAUGUGGUUGUGUUCAUUAUAUUUUACGCGAAUAUUGAACUUAAUGAAAUUCAGUCUAUAUUUUAGAUACUCAAAUUGAUUGGUAACGAUUUUGUUCCAAUCUUAGGGAAAGUCGGGUCAUCCCCAUUCCAUCUCUCUCUCGAACAUCGGCUCAAGAUCGCAAGAGGAGUCGCCCGGGGGCUUGCUCACAUCCACGACAAGAAGCUUGUCCAUGGCAACAUCAAGCCCACCAAGAUCCUCCUCAACUCCGACAUGGAGCCGCUAAUCUCUGACUUUGGCCUCGAGAAGCUCAUCGUCGGUGGAGCCAGCCACCACAUGACAGCGACCGGUUCAGGAUCAUCGAACCGAUUCGGAAGUCAAAGAUUCGCACACCAUCAAGAAUUUUCGAUCGCUAACGUUAAUCAUAGUAACAACAAUAGCCCAUUUGUAGUGCCCACGAGCUCGAAUCUCGGCGCUCCCUCUCCUUAUCAAGCGCCGGAGUCCUUGAAGAGCUUCAAGCCAAGCUCGAAAUGGGAUGUGUACUCGUUUGGCGUUGUUUUGCUCGAGCUGCUCACGGGGAGAGUGUUCUUAGACGGGGAACUGGCCCAGUGGAACGCCGGUUCGGUGGGCAACGAGGACCGGGGUUGGGUGCUGAGGAUGGCCGAUGUGGCGAUCAGGGCUGAGGUGGCGAGCAGGGAGGAGGUGGUCCUGGGCUGCUUCAAGUUGGCAUUUGGCUGUGCCUCUCUUGUCCCACAAAAGAGGCCCUCCAUGAAGGAAGCACUCCAAGUUCUUGAAAAGAUGAUGACACCAUGAUUUGAUGAGGUUUUUCUGAUGUGAUGCUGAAUUGCUAUUAGUGGGAUUUGGGUCCCUUUGAAAAAGCUUUGGCCACUAAAAAUCAAAGCGUUGUCUUUUUGAGCCUUUUUGACUUGGGUGUAGCAAGGAAAGAGAGGGAAGUAAUUGAUAAAUAGACCGGGUUUGUUUUUUUUUUUUUUUUGACGGAAAGUAAAGUGGAUUGGUCGGUUCUGCCUUUUUAGCAUCCCAAGCUUGUCCUAUAAUUGGUGAAUAUAGUAAUGUACGAAAAACCUGAGGUUCACGAGCUAUAUACAUCGGUCACCCUUUUUCAACACGAAUGAGACACGCCCUCUUUAGCAAAAGGUAGAUGGACAAAGGACCCACCAAAGUCUGAGAUUUCGGUAAGGAAUCAGACUAGUGGAAUCACCAUUUCGUUCCAACUUGAUUCUUGUAACGAGUAAGGCAUAGCUCUUGAAAUUGUAGUAAGUAGUUCGAUAUUGCUAUACAAUUAGAAUGUCAAAUUUUAUGAGACUGCAUGUGAGAUGGAGAGAGAAAGACAAUUAUCAAAUCAGUCUUAAACCUGCUAUAUAAAUGAUAAUUCGGUUCUAAUCUUUUUUUUUUUUUAAAUUUUGGCAAUGUCGUCUUAAAUGUUUGUGCGAAAUUCCAAUGUAGUUUUUCUAGCAAAUCGUUGAUGCGGUAUGCAGUCGUUGCUGGCUGUUCUAUGUGGCACAUUGAUGCAGCAAUUUCUAGUAGAGAAUAGUCAAAAUGAUUACAUUAUAAUUUUGUGCAAUGGUGUACGGUUAAAUUGACAAAAUUAAAAAGUUCAUGACUGAAUUGACAUUUGUACAAUAGAUUUAAGAAUGAAUUUCACUUUCCCAAUGAGAGAAACAAAUGUUAAUGACUCAUUGCACAUAUUUGCCUGCCUAAGGCAAUUUUGCCUCUUGAAUGUUUUGUUUAUAACCUUUACGAAUUGGUAAGAGAAAUGUCACCUAAUAAGAUAGUGCCAUUAGGGCUGUAUAGCCAAUUUAAGUCAAAGGUGCAUUUUAUUUUUUUUGAGUUAAGUGUUGUUGUUUAGAUAUCCAAGGUUGACUAUACAAUGCACGCUCUUUUUUUUUUUUUUUUGGGUCAUAAAUGGGUGAUUUUUUUUUCAUUUAUUCAUACGAUAAUUACAAGAUAAAGGUAAACAUACUUCCGAACAUAAAAUAUCCUGAAAAGGCUGGGGAUGGGAGGACUCUCAUUGAGAGGGAGUUUUUUUGGUAUGGUGGGCUUCCGCUACCCAAUCGAUGGCUCCGUUUCCUUCCCUAAGGCAAUGAGUCGGUUUUGCUUGGCUUAACUGGGCUAGGAUUCUCUUUCCUUCAUUUACUAUGUUCGUCAUGGCCCAAGGUGCUUUUUCUUCUCCCGUUACCACCAAAUUGUCACUUUUACAAACAAGAUCUAUUGCUUUUUGCUGAUUCACCUGCAUGUGACCCUCUUGGAUUUUUUGCAGGAACUUAAGCUAUUUCACAAAGGCUAAGAUUUUAGGUUGAAGAGGAGAUUCGACUCUAGUCUCACAAGCAAAGCCUCCCUACGCAAUUCUACUCGAAUUCCUCAAGAUCCCGACGAUUUAGCAUGGGGUUUCGCUGCCCACCCAAGAUGCAUCCAUGUUCAGCUUCAAGUUUGAGUCUGUUGGGGGUUUCUACUUUGUUUCUUCUAUCCUAGAUCUGGCUUUUGAUAUGAUGUUAUGUGGGUUCCAUCUAAGGUAGCUAUUGGCCUAUACUCGCGCAUCUUCUAAUAUGGCUUUAGGAUUGGGCUGCUGUCCUCGAAACACAACAUUGUUCCUUGCCUUCCACAUGAGCUAAAGGUUCAUUGCUACUAUUGCUUCUUCAAGUUUGUUGUCGUUUUUUUCAAAGAUGCCCCUUAGCCAUCUAUCUGCUCUGGUGACAUUUCGCGAGCUUUUGCAUUCUUCAUGGUUUGAUUUGACCAUACUUCCCCUGUCGAGCGGCAGGAGAAUAGCAUAUGUUCGAUUGUCUCAGGAUACUUUGAGCAAAGUAGGCAAAGUGGGUCUAGUAAGACUAUUCUAUUGUAAAGAUUUUCACGUGUAGGUAGGGCGUCUUGGCAUGUGCUUCAUAGAAAGAUUCGCAUUUAGGGGGGAGGGGGGGGGGGGGCUAGGAUAUUAUGUAAUUUUGUCCAUAGUUGUCUAGGUGGCUAAUAUGAGGUUGAUGCCGUGUUUGGAUUUGUCUUGAAAAACUUGGACCGCUCAUUGUUGUAGUUGCUUUUAAUUGUAUAGCAUCUAGUUUUAUUUGCCAUCCGAUAUAGAAUGUCCACUUUGGGGGAAGGGCUGAUGAGGGUUGCUAAUAUCUCUUCAACAAUUUUUUCCACAAAAAGGUUAUGCAAAAUGGGUUCUUUCCACUCCCUUGUGUCUUCAUUUAUUAGUUCUACCACUUUGUAUGGAUCAUUCCUAUUUGCGGGACCUUCAACAAUGCCCAAGGCUAGCCAUUUGUCCUCUCGGACUUUUAUAGAUUUAGCAUCUCCCAUUGCCCACCUAGACUAUGGCUCAAUGACUUCUCUUCUGGCUAAGAUACUCUACCAACCCCAAGACGAGCGAUGUCCUCUUUUGGCUUUCCAAAAAUCCCCUUUCGGAAAGAAUAUGCCUUUAAGAACUUGAAUCUAUAAUGCCGAACGAUUUUGAUGUAAUCUCCAAGCUUGUUUUCCCAAUAUAACUCUAUUAAAAGUUUGCAAAUCUUUGAAACCUAAGCCUCCUUCAUCUUUCUGGAGUUUCAUCACCUCCCAUUUUUUUCCAAUGCAUUCCCCUCCUUGUAUCACUUCGUUUCCACCAAAAGGAGGCUACUCUCUUCUCUAUAGCAUUACAAACAUAAUUGGGUGUUUUGAAGAUUGACAUGGCAUAUUGAGGAAUAGCUUGCACUAUGCUCGUUAUCAAUAUUUCUUUACCUCUUUUGAUAGAAACUUUCAUUUCAUCCCUCCAUCUUCAUAUCUACUCUAGCCAAUAUCCAAGCGAACAUGUCUUUCUUUGACUAACCCCAAUUGGAUGGUAUUCUGAGAUAUUUCUCAUUCUUCUCUAUUAUUGGGACACGUAAUUCAUGAGCCAUAUUCCUCUUCAAAUUAUGUGGACAAUCAUUGCCAAAAGCGAUUCCUAAUUUGUUCAAAUUGAUGGCUUGACUCAUUGCAUAACAAUAUUGGUUUAGAAUUUCUACCAAGAUUUGGCACUCCUUUACUAUUCCAUCCAAGAAGAUAAUAGCAUCAUCAGCAAAUAAUAAAUGGGACAAUGUAGACAAUACUCAUUUAGAGUGAUUCCCUUGAGGAUUCCAUCUGCUUUGGCUUUAUGCAUCAUCCAUGAUAGCACAUUGACCAUUAAUAUAAAUAGGUAAGGGGAUAGUGGAUCUCCUUGUUGAUAAACUAGUAAGAGCACCUAGAGGGGGUGAAUAAAUGCUUAAAAGAAAUCUUAACAAAUAAUUGUGGAAUAAAAUAAAUUGCAAAUAAAUUGGGAUGAAAAAUAGAAUCAGAUUCGUGAAACACUAGAUUUCUGGUAGAUGUUUAGAAUCUAUUAUGUAAUAGAACAAACUUCUAUGAUAACCUGUAAAAGUGCAACAGAUUUAAGUAAAGAGAGUCAAGGAAAGAAAAUAUUGCAUACGCUUUUAUAGUGGUUUGGCUCAAAUUAAGCCCAUGUCCACUAUCCCACACUG
rnacentral:lncRNA from 1 species